GUUCAUUGAAAAUCACCCCUAGCUUCAGCCAUGGAGAUUCGGCACCCACAGUGUCUAGGGCCUUAUACUCACUGCCCACUGCUGGUGUCGAACCAUGAAACCCAGGCCCCAACAGGC
ensembl:snoRNA